CAAUUCUGAGCACCGUUUGCAGGGCACGCAGGAUUUGAACCAGCAGAGUUGAGGCAAGACAAAAGGGAAAGAGAUGAGACGGAGAUAAUAUGCUGCAACUUUGCAUGUAUGGGUCAACUUUACCCUGGUUUUGUUACCAGACCAAAGUGAGUCCGCUCCUUGGUAUCCAUUUGCUCCAGCACCAUUUGUUGAAAAGAAGAAAGGCUUGUGAUAAAUUACUGAUUUCACCAUUGAUCAAGUAUGGUGACUUUGUCGAAAAUAAAUUGACUAAGUAAGUGUGGGUCUAUUUCUGUGAUCCCUGUUCUGUUCCACUGAUCCAUCUGUCUAUCAGUCUUUGUGUCAGUAUCAC
rnacentral:lncRNA from 1 species